GUAAUUGUAUAUCAUUAUGCGUACAAUUCUGGACUUCACAGAACUUAUAUAUUUAAUUAAUUGUGAAUUUUUGUUUUUUUGGUGUAGAUAUAUCAAAAUCGUAAUUAAUAUUGAUUUUUCCCCACAAUUUGUAUAAUGUGUCCAGCGUUUUGAAAAAAUAUGUCAGAAUAUUUUAUUUUGAUAUUAGUUGUGAAAUUGGUAGAAUUACUACUGUUCACCAAUCAUAUUUUUCCUACUGUUAUUUGGGUUUGACAUAACACAAGCAUUGGGCUUUAAUGGGUCAACAAAAUUGGCAAGGUGAAGAAGAACAAAAGUGUGGGCAAAAAGUUUGUAGCCCAUUUACGUCACCUAUAUAUGCAUUACAACGUACGACGUAUGGUGGAGGUAGGUGAGAAAAGAAUCUAAAGAGUGUUCUAGAGAAGAGAGAUAAAAAAGAGCUUCCUAAGCAAGCUUUCUUCUUUCUAUUUGUUGUUCUUAAAUCUUUGUUCUUCUUGAGUGCAAAUAUGUAAAAACCAAAAGACAACAUCACAAGUUAGUGGUGUGUUUGUAAUUCCUUUGAUAUAGUGAAGCUUUGGGAGCAAGAGAUCUCCCCCUAGACGUACCGGUUGAGGCCGUGAACUCGGUUACCAAUUUUUGUGUCUUUUUAUUUAUUUAACAAGCAAUCUCUAUCACUCUUUUCUCCACAUCUACAGUAGUAAUUUGUUCGUAUAUUUGUCUUUAAUAUAAUUGUAUUAACACUCUUAACACUUGUAAAAGGAGAAUGAAGACAAGAAGAAAAUAAGUUCUUAACACUCUUAUAUCAUUGUUAGCAAUAGACUGCUGUAAACGUUUGAUCAUAAAGUCACCAAUUAAUCUUACCAACAUGUGCAUCAAGAGAAGCAACACGCUCCUCUCCAAUUGUUGAGAAUUCUAUUGACCAUAUAACUCAGGAAUUUGGCAAAUCGUUGCUCCAAAUGAUUCACGGAUAAAACCAUUUUGUGUUUUUGAAACACUCACGCUAUAAAUCAGUACAUAGACCAGAGCUCCAAAUUCUUGCAACUAAUCAAAUCAAGCGAAGAGAAUUUACCAGCGGAGACGACGGUGGAGAAAAUGCGUUGAUCAAAAGGGCUUGAAGCAAGGUCCCAAAUCUCAUUAGGAUGAGAGAAUAAACCCUCACAUAUCAGGUCAGAUCCACCAGAUGACAAACGAAGAGAAUAUGAACCUUAAUAGCAUCUCAAAUGUUGGAGAGAUUAAAAAAAAA
rnacentral:sRNA from 1 species